rnacentral:rRNA from 1 species
GAUGAACGCUGGCGGCGUGCCUAAUACAUGCAAGUCGAGCGAACGGACGAGAAGCUUGCUUCUCUGAUGUUAGCGGCGGACGGGUGAGUAACACGUGGAUAACCUACCUAUAAGACUGGGAUAACUUCGUGAAACCGGAGCUAAUACCGGAUAAUAUUUUGAACCGCAUGGUUCAAAAGUGAAAGACGGUCUUGCUGUCACUUAUAGAUGGAUCCGCGCUGCAUUAGCUAGUUGGUAAGGUAACGGCUUACCAAGGCAACGAUGCAUAGCCGACCUGAGAGGGUGGUCGGCCACACUGGAAAUGAGACACGGUCCAGACUCCUACGGGAGGCAGCAGUAGGGAAUCUUCCGGAAUGGGGGAAAGCCUGACGGAGCAACGCCGCGUGAGUGAUGAAGGUCUUCGGAUCGUAAAACUCUGUUAUUAGGGAAGAACAUAUGUGUAAGUAACUGUGCACAUCUUGACGGUACCUAAUCAGAAAGCCACGGCUAACUACGUG